GGAAUCAACGCUGGCGGCGUGCCUCAGACAUGCAAGUCGAACGCGAAAGUCCCCUUCGGGGGAUGAGUAGAGUGGCGCUCGGGUGAGUAACACGUAGGUAAUCUACCUUUGGAUGGGGAAUAACAACCGGAAACGGUUGCUAAUACCGCAUAAUGCAGCGGCACCUAAUGGUGACAGUUGUUAAAGCGGGGGAUCGAAAGACCUCGCGUCUGAAGAGGAGCCUGCGGCGGAUUAGCUAGUUGGUAAGGUAAUGGCUUACCAAGGCUACGAUCC
rnacentral:rRNA from 1 species